rnacentral:rRNA from 1 species
ACUCGCCUGCAUGAAGUCGGAAUUGCUAGUAAUCGCGGAUCAGCAUGCCGCGGUGAAUACGUUCUCGGGCCUUGUACACACCGCCCGUCACACCAUGGGAGUCGGUAACACCCGAAGUCUGUAGCCUGACGCAAGAGGGCGCAGCCGAGGGUGGGAUUGAUGACUGGGGUGAAGUCGUAACAAGGUAAC